UUACGGCUCAGUAACACGUAGUUAACCUAACCUUAAGUCAGGAAUAGUCUCGGGAAACUGAGAAUAAAACUUGAUAGGGAAUAUUUCCUGGAAUGGUAUAUUCUUUAAACUCGUGCUUAAGGAUGGGACUGCGGCUGAUUAGGUUGUUGUUGGUGCAAAAGACUAACAAGCCGAUGAUCAGUAAGGGCUCUUAGCGGAGGUGCCCUGAGAAGGAAUCUGAGACACUAUUCCUAGCUCUACGGAGUGCAGCAGUCAAGGAUUUUUCGCAAUGCGCGCAAGCGUGACAAAGCGAACCAAAGUGCUUUCCAUUCGGAAAGCUUUUCUCUGCUUUAAAAAGGCAGGGGAAUAAGGACUGGGUAAGAUCGGUGCCAGCCGCCGCGGUAAUCCCGACAGUCCAAGUCGCAGCCAGCAUUAUUGGGUCUAAAACAUCCGUAGCUUGCUUUAUAAGUUCCUUGUGAAAUUUGACAUCUCAAGUGUUAAGCGCGCAAGGAAUACUGUUUAGCUAGAGACCGGUAGAUGUAAGGAGUACACUCGAGGUAGUAGUAAAAUACGUUAAUCUUGGGUGGACUAACAACUAGCGAAGGCACCUUACAAGGACGGAUCUGACAGUGAGGGAUGAAGGCCAAGGGCGCAAAACGGAUUAGAUACCCGUGUAGUCUUGGCAGUAAACACUGCACACUAAACAUCGGGCUCUCUUCGGGAGAGUUCGGUGCUGAAGCGAAGGCGAAGAGUGUGCUACCUGGGAAGUAUAGUCGCAAGAUCGAAACUUAAAGGAAUUGGCGGGGGAGCACAA
rnacentral:rRNA from 1 species